CAGUAGCCACGGUAAUACGAGGGGGGCAAGCGUUGUUCGGAAUUAUUGGGCGUAAAGGGUGCGUAGGCGGUUUGAUAAGUCAUCUGUGAAAUCUCUGGGCUCAACCCAGAGUCUGCAGGCGAAACUGUCGGGCUUGAGUAUGGGAGAGGUGAGUGGAAUUUCCGGUGUAGCGGUGAAAUGCGUAGAUAUCGGAAGGAACACCUGCGGCGAAAGCGGCUCACUGGACCAUAACUGACGCUGAUGCACGAAAGCUAGGGGAGCAAACAGGAUUAGAUACCCCAGUAGUCCCUGUCUCUUAUAA
rnacentral:rRNA from 1 species